rnacentral:rRNA from 1 species
AUUGAACGCUGGCGGCAGGCCUAACACAUGCAAGUCGGGCGAGCGGAGGACGGGUGAGUAAUGUAUGGGGACUGCCUGAUGGAGGGGGAUAACUACUGGAAACGGGAGAUAAUACCGCAUACCAGGAGAGAACCCAUAUGGGAUUAGCUUGUAGGUGGGGUAACGGCUCACCGAGGCGACGAUCCCUAGCUGGUCUGAGAGGAUGAUCAGCCACACGGGGACUUAGACCCGGCACAGACUCCCAGGUAGGCAGCAGUGGGGAAUGUUGCACAAUGGGCGAAAGCCUGAUGCAGCCAUCCCGCGUGUAUGAAGAAGGCUUUCGGGUUGUAAAGUACUUUCCGUCUGGAGGCGUUACCGACAGAAGAAGCACCGGCUAACUCCGUGCCAGCAGCCGCGGUAAUUC